UACGGAAGGCAGCAGUGGGGAAUAUUGCACAAUGGGCGAAAGCCUGAUGCAGCUAUGCCGCGUGUAUGAAGAAGGCCUUAGGGUUGUAAAGUACUUUCAUCGGGGAGGAAAAAACAAACUAAUAAUUUUAUUUCUUGACGUUACCCGAAAAAGAAGCACCGGCUAACUCCGUGCCAGCAGCCGCGGUAAUACGGAGGGUGCUAGCGUUAAUCAGAAUUACUGGGCGUAAAGAGCACGUAGGUGGUUUUUUUAAGUCAGGUGUGAAAUCCCUGGGCUUAACCUAGGAACUGCAUUUUGAAACUGAAAUACUAGAGUAUCGUAGAGGGAGGUAGAAUUCUAGGUGUAGCGGUGAAAUGCGUAGAUAUCUGGAGGAAUACCUGUGGCGAAAGCGGCCUCCUAAACGAAUACUGACACUGAGGGUGCGAAAGCGUGGGGAGCAAACAGGGAUUAGAUACC
rnacentral:rRNA from 1 species